GAGCAGUCAGCACAUGUAAUUGAUGCAUACCGCACGCUCAGCAGACCAUUAUCAAGGGCAUUAUACUUGCUUCUACUCGAGGGCAUACAUGUUGAUGAAGAAAAGACAAUCAGUGAUCCUGAACUUCUUAUGGAGAUGAUGGAGAUACCUGAAGCUGUUAAUGAUGCCAGUGACUCUCAAACCCUGGAGAAGAUCCAGUCUCAGAUCAAGAGAAAGCUCGAAACCUGGUCCAAUUCCUUCCAGGAAGCGUUCGACAAGAGGGAUUUUGACCGUGCAGUGGAAGCUACACAACGAAUGAAGUACUAUGAACGUGCGAUGGAAGAAACAGUGAAGAAACUCUGAUCUUGAUUUGGCCAAAGGUGGGGAGGCUUGAAAAAUUUUCGUGCAUUCCUGGCAGGUCCCUUGUCG